GGAACAUCUCUUACCAAGGCCUGUGAAACGCAGUUUCUUGGCAGGCCUGAUCUGGCUGAAGUAGAACUCCUGCUCUGGGCGUGCUACUUUGGCCUAGAGCUGCCAGGCCCAAAGGGCCGCCUUGUUUCCAAAGGGGCUGAGAGUCCCCAAAGUAUCUUGCUUCCAAAUCUUUGGGAAGCUAAGAAACAACUGGCUCUGCACAGUGCUCUCACAGCCUACCGGCAACGUGACAGAGAAAGGCCUGUGAGACGCAGUUUCUUGGAAGGCCUGAUCUGGCUGAGGUAGAACUUCUGCUCUGGGUGUACUCCAUUGGCCUAGGGCUGCCAGGCCCAAAGGGCUGCCUUUAUUUCCAAAGUGUGAGAGAGGCCCCAAAGCAUCUUGCUUCCUGCUCUCUGGGAAGCUAAAACAACUGGCUCUGCACAGUGCUCUCAAAGCCAACCGGGAACGUCACAUACAAAGGCCUGUGAAACGCAGCUUCUUGACAGGCCUUAUCUGGCUGAGGUAGAACUUGUGCUCUGGGUGUGCUACUUUGGCCUAGAGCUGCCAGGCACAAAGGCUGCUUUGUUUCCAAAGGGGGAGAGAGGCCCCAAAUCAUGUUGCUUCCAGCUGUUUUUGAAGCUAAGAAACAACUCGCUCUGCCAGGUACUCUUACAGCCUUCCGGGAACACCUCUUACGAAGGCCUGUGAAAAGCAGUUUCUUGGCAGGCCUGAUCUGGCUGAGGUAGAACUUCUGCUCUGGGUGUGCUCCAUUGCCCUAGAGCUGAAAGGCCCAAAGGGAUGCCUUGUUUGCAAAGGGGCAGAGAGGCCCCAAAGCAUCUUGCUUCCAGCUCUUUGGGAAGCUAAGAAACAACUGUCUCUGCCCAGUGCUCUGACAGAGUACCGGGAACAUCUCUUACCAAAGCCUUUGAAACGCAGUUUCUUGGCAGGCCUUAUCUGGCUGAGGUAGAACUUCUGCUCUGGGUGUGCUCCAUUGGCCUAGAGCUGAAAGGCCCAAAGGUCGGCCUUGUUGGCAAAGGGGCAGGGAGCCCCCAAAGCAUCUUGCUUCCAGCUCUUUGGGAAGCUAAGAAACAACUGGCUCUGCCCAGUGCUCUUACAGCCUGAGAGAAAAUCUCUUACCAAGGCCUGUGAAACGCACUUUGUUGGUGGCCUGAUCUAGCUGAAGUAGAACUUCUGCUCUGGGUGUGCUCCAUUGGCCUAGAGCUGCCUGGCCCAAAGGGCCGCCUUGUUUGCAAAGGGGCAGAGAGGCCCCAAAGCAUCUUGCUUCCAGCUCUUCGGGAAGCUAAGAAACAUCUGGCGUUGCCCAGUGCUCUUACAGCCUACCGGGAACAUCUCUUACCAAGGCCUGUGAAACGCAGUUUGUUGGUGGCCUGAACUGGCCGAAGUAGAACUUCUGCUCUGGGUGUGCUCCAUUGGCCUAGAGCUGCCUGGCCCAAAGGUCGGCCUUGUUGGCAAAGGGGCAGGGAGCCCCCAAAGCAUCUUGCUUCCAGCUCUUUGGGAAGCUAAGAAACAACUGGCUCUGCCCAGUGCUCUUACAGCCUACCGGGAACAUCUCUUACCAAGGCCUGUGAAACGCAGUUUGUUGGUGGCCUGAACUGGCCGAAGUAGAACUUCUGCUCUGGGUGUGCUCCAUUGGCCUAGAGCUGCCUGGCCCAUAGGGCCGCCUUGUUUGCAAAGGGGAUGAGAGGCCCCAAAGCAUCUUGCUUCCAGCUCUUCGGGAAGCUAAGAAACAUCUGGCGUUGCCCAGUGCUCUUACAGCCUACCGGGAACAUCUCUUACCAAGGCCUGUGAAACGCAGUUUGUUGGUGGCCUGAACUGGCCGAAGUAGAACUUCUGCUCUGGGUGUGCUCCACUGGCCUAGAGCUACCUGGCGCAAAGGGCUGCCUUGAUUCCAAAGUGAGAGAGUGGCACCAAAGCAUCUUGCUUCCAGCUCUUCGGGAAGCUAAGAAACAUCUGGCGUUGCCCAGUGCUCUUACAGCCUACCGGGAACAUCUCUUACCAAGGCCUGUGAAACGCCGUUUCCUGGCAGGCCUGAUUUGGCUGAAGUAGAACUUCUGCUCUGGGUGUGCUCCAUUGCCCUAGAGCUGCCAGGCCCAAGGUGCUGCCUUGUUUCCAAAGGGGCAGAGAGGCCCCAAAGCAUCUUGCUUCCAGCUCUCUGGGAAGCUAAGAACCAACUCGCUCUGCCCCGUGCUCUUACAGCCUACCGGGAACAUGUCUUUGAAAGGCCUGUGAAACGCAGUUUCUUGGCAGGCCUGACCUGGCUGAAGUAGAACUUCUGCUCUGGGUGUGCUCCAUUGCCCUAGAGCUGCCAGGCCCAAAGGGCUGCCUUGUUUCCAAAGACGGAGAGUGGACCCAAAGCAUCUUGCUCCCAGCUCUUCGGGAAGCUAAGAAACAGCUGGCUCUGCCCAGUGCUCUUACAGCCUAAGAGAACAUCUCUUUGAAAGGCCUGUGAAACGCAGUUUCUUGGCAGGCCUGACCUGGCUGAAGUAGAACUUCUGUUCUGGUUGUGCUACAUAGGCCUAGAGCUACCAGGACCUAAGGGCUGCCUUGUUUCCAAAGGGUGAGAGAGGCCCCAAAGCAUCUUGCCUCCAGCACUUUGGGAAGCUAAAAAACAACUGGUUCUGCCCAGUGCUCUCACAGCCUACCGUGAACAUCUCUUACCAAGGGCUGUGAAACGCAGUUUCUGGGCAGGACUGAUCUGCCUGAAGUAGAACUUCUGCUGUGGGUGUGCUCCAUUGGCCUAGAGCUGCCAGGCCCAAACGGCUGCCUUGUGUCCAAAGGGAGAGAGAGGCCCCAAAGCAUCUUGCUUCCAGCUCUGUGGGAAGCUAAAGCAACUGGCUCUCCACAGUGCUCUCACAGCCUACCGGGAACAUCUCUUACCAAGGCCUGUGAAACGCAGUUUCUUGGCAGGCCUGAUCUGGCUGAAGUAGAACUCCUGCUCUGGGCGUGCUACUUUGGCCUAGAGCUGCCAGGCCCAAAGGGCCGCCUUGUUUCCAAAGGGGCUGAGAGUCCCCAAAGCAUCUUGCUUCCAAAUCUUUGGGAAGCUAAGAAACAACUGGCUCUGCACAGUGCUCUCACAGCCUACCGGCAACGUGACAGAGAAAGGCCUGUGAGACGCAGUUUCUUGGAAGGCCUGAUCUGGCUGAGGUAGAACUUCUGCUCUGGGUGUACUCCAUUGGCCUAGGGCUGCCAGGCCCAAAGGGCUGCCUUUAUUUCCAAAGUGUGAGAGAGGCCCCAAAGCAUCUUGCUUCCUGCUCUCUGGGAAGCUAAAACAACUGGCUCUGCACAGUGCUCUCAAAGCCAACCGGGAACGUCACAUACAAAGGCCUGUGAAACGCAGCUUCUUGACAGGCCUUAUCUGGCUGAGGUAGAACUUGUGCUCUGGGUGUGCUACUUUGGCCUAGAGCUGCCAGGCACAAAGGCUGCUUUGUUUCCAAAGGGGGAGAGAGGCCCCAAAUCAUGUUGCUUCCAGCUGUUUUUGAAGCUAAGAAACAACUCGCUCUGCCAGGUACUCUUACAGCCUUCCGGGAACACCUC
ensembl:lncRNA